rnacentral:lncRNA from 1 species
CCUCACGAUUGGUCUCAUGAAAUUAAAAAACAAAUAAUUGAUUUUGUCGACCAGAUUGAUGGGAUUUAUGUCGUUGGAUGCACUACUAUUGUGAAAAUUUUUUUGAGAGAUUGUCGCAUUCAUGAGGCAAUGGCUUUUAAAGAAUCACAAAGUGAUUCUUAUAGAAUUGCAUAUGAUCAAGCACGAAAUGGAUCAUUCAUCAGGGCUCUUUAUGACACCUUCUUGUUUUUUAAGGAAUUCCGCGACAAUUUAUUCUCUUUAACCGAACAAAAAUUAAAAAGAUUGGCCAAUCAAGAACGAUUAAAAUUUGAAUGGAGAAAA